rnacentral:rRNA from 1 species
AGAACGAACGCUGGCGGCAGGCUUAACACAUGCAAGUCGAACGCGUGUAGCAAUACACGAGUGGCGCACGGGUGAGUAACGCGUGGAUAUCUGCCUUUUGGUUCGGAAUAACCCCGGGAAACUGGGGCUAAUACCGAAUGGUUCCUUCGGGAUAAAGAUUUAUCGCCAAAAAGAUGAGUCCGCGUACGAUUAGCUAGUUGGUGAGGUAAUGGCUCACCAAGGCGACGAUCGUUAGCUGGUCUGAGAGGACGAUCAGCCACACUGGGACUGAGACACGGCCCAGACUCCUACGGGAGGCAGCAGUGGGGAAUAUUGGACAAUGGGGGCAACCCUGAUCCAGCCAUGCCGCGUGAGUGAUGAAGGCCUUCGGGUUGUAAAGCUCUUUUGGCGGGACGAUGAUGACGGUACCACAGAAUAAGCCCCGGCUAACUUCGUGCCAGCAGCCGC